rfam:Glomerella graminicola M1.001 mitochondrion, whole genome shotgun sequence.
AUAUAGAUGAGUUUGGUGAUGGCUCUGAAUGAAUGCUGUCCAAAUGCUUGACACAUGCUAAUCGAACGAUUAAUUUAAUGAAGAAUUUAAUUAAUAAGUGGUGUACAGGUGAGUAUAUGAUAUUUUCACUACCUUAAAGUGAGGGAUAAAAUCCCACAUAAUAAUAAAGGCUUAUAAAGCCGCUUUAGGAUGAAGAUUAAUAUCGUCGAGAGAGGUAGUAGUAAAGGUAAUGUCUUCACUAGCCUUAAAAUCUCGUAACCGUAACUGAAAGGUUGAUCGGUCACAUUGGGUCUGAAAAAAGCCCAAUGCAAAAUAGGUACAGCAGUGGGGAAUUUUGGUCAAUGGCCUAACGGCUGAACUGGCAAUUUGGGUAAACGAAAUAGAAUUGUAACUACUAAAAUAAAGUUUUAAGUACGUAUUAAUAAUGAUAAUAUGUAUACUAGUCUUGACUAAUUACGUGCCAGCAGUCGCGGUAAUACGUAAGAGACGAGCAUUAUUCAUAUUAAAUAGGUUUAAAGGGUACCCAGACGGUCAAAAUACCUUAAUUCAAAGGAGUACUUGACUAGAGUUAUAUGUGAGAAGACCGUACUUGAGGUGGAGAGAUUAUAUUCUGUGAUACCAAAAGGACUGAUAAAGGCGAAGGCUGUCUUUUAUGUAAUAACUGACGUUGGAGGACGAAGGCAUAGAGAACAAACAGGAUUUGACACCCUAGUAGUCUUUGCAGACAAUGAUGAAUGCCAUGGACUAGGUAUGGAAUUUUAUUUUUAUGUGUAAAUGAGUGCCUACUUCGUAGGCACAAAAUUUCGGAUUUAGAAGAAGCUAAAGAGUAAAGAUAAAAUUUAGUCUUUAGAAGAAACUGAGGAGUAGAGGUAAAAUUCAGCCUUACAUGUAAGGCAAGGUACUAGACAUCGGAAUAUAGUCUAUAUAUGAAAAUGUCUUAAACCCUAAACUUAGUCUAUAAAUGAAAAUGAAAGCAUUUCACCUCAAGAGUAAUGUGGCAACGCAGGAACUGAAAUCACUAGGCCGUUUCUGACACCAGUAGUGAAGUAUGUUAUUUAAUUCGAUGAUCCACGAAAAACCUUACCAUAACUUGAAUAUCUAGUUCCUAGAUACAGGAGUUGCACGGCUGUUUACAGUUAAUGUUGUGAAACUGUGGUUUUGCCAUGGAAUUAACGGAAUCCUUUGCUUUAUUUAUAGAAUAUUUUAUAAAGCAAUCUUUCUUUAUAGCGGAAAAGAUAAGAAGGAAUAAGACAAGUCAUCAUGGCCCUUAUGUUAUGGGCUAUAGACGUGCCACGUAGUCCUUAACAAAGAGAUGCGAAAAUGCGAAUUUUAGCUAAUCUCAAAAAAAAGGAUAUAAAUUAUACAAGGAUUGUAGUCUGAAACUCGACUAUAUGAAUAAGUAAUUACUAGUAAUCGUGAAUCACCAUGUCACGGUGAAUUUCAUCUCGGAUUGGUACUAACCACUCGUCGCAUGCUGAAAGGAGUUUACGCAAUAAGUUUGCUCUUCUGUUAUAAUCUCUUUUAUAAAUUGGAUUAUUAUAUUAUAAUGGGAUUCUUCGUAUGCGUUAUUCUGAUUAGUGUUAAGUCGAAAUAUGGUUCGUGUAGCGGAAGUUGCACGGGGUUAUUAAACUUA